rnacentral:misc_RNA from 1 species
GAUGAAGAACGUAGCGAAAUGCGAUAAGUAAUGUGAAUUGCAGAUUUUCAGUGAAUCAUCGAAUCUUUGAACGCACCUUGCGCUCCCUGGUAUUCCGGGGAGCAUGCCUGUUUGAGUGUCAUUAAAUUCUCAACCCCGAUCGGAUUUGUUUUCGCAUUCGGAGGCUUGGAUAGUGGAGCGUGCUGGCCCCCUCUCAUGGGUCGGCUCCUCUCAAAUGCAUUCGCGGAAUCGACUUUGGUCCAUUUCGGUCAUCAGUGUGAUAAACGUUGCGCUGUUGGCUAGGAUCGAGGUGCCGCAUACAAUGGUCUUCGGACAAUUUUAUAAACCAUUUGACCUCAAAUCAGGUAGGACUACCCGCUGAACUUAAGCAUAUCAAUCAGCGGAGGA